GCGCUGCUUACACAUGCAAGUCGAACGAUGAAACCCAGCUCGCUGGGUGGAUUAGUGGCGAACGGGUGAGUAACACGUGAGUAACCUGCCCUUAACUCUGGGAUAAGCCUGGGAAACUGGGUCUAAUACCGGAUAGGAGCGUCCACCGCACGGUGGGUGUUGGAAAGAUUUAUCGGUUUUGGAUGGACUCGCGGCCUAUCAGCUUGUUGGUGAGGUAAUGGCUCACCAAGGCGACAACAGGUAGCCGGCCUGAGAGGGUGACCGGCCACACUGGGACUGAGACACAGCCCAGACUCCUACGGGAGGCAGCAGUGGGGAAUAUUGCACAAUGGGCGCAAGCCUGAUGCAGCGACGCCGCAUGAGGGAUGACGGCCUUCGGGUUGUAAACCUCUUUCAAUAGGGAAGAAGCGAAAGUGACGGUACCUGCAAAAGAAUCACCGGCUAACUACGUGCCAUCAGCCGCGGUAAUACGUAAGGUGCGAGCGUUAUCCGGAAUUAUUGGGCGUAAAGAGCUCGUAAGCGGUUUGUCUCGUCUGUCGUGAAAGUCCGGGGCUUAACCCCGGAUCUGCGGUGGGUACCGGCAGACUACAGUGCAGUAUGGGAGACUGGAAUUCCUGGUGUAUCGGUGGAAUGCGCAUAUAUCUCGAGGAACACCGAUGGCGAAGGCAGGUCUCUGGGCUGUAACUGACGCUGAGGAGCGAAAGCAUGGGGAGCGAACAGGAUUAUAUACCCUGGUAGUCCAUGCCGUAAACAUUUGGGCACUAGGUGUGGGGACCAUUCCACGGUUUCCGCGCCGCAUCUAACGCAUUAAGUGCCCCGCCUGGGGAGUACAGCCGCAAGGCUAACACUCAAAGGAAUUGACGGGGGCCCGCACAAGCUCGCGGAGCAUGCGGAUUACUUCGCAUGCAACGCGGAGAACCUUACCAAAGCUUGACAUGUUCUCGAUAGCCGUACAGAUACUUGUUUUCCCUUUUGAGGCUCGUUCACAAGUGGCUGUAUGGUUGUCGUCAGCUCGUGUCGUGAGAUGUUGGGUUAUGUCCCGC
rnacentral:rRNA from 1 species